rnacentral:rRNA from 1 species
GAUGAACGCUGGCGGUGUGCCUAAUACAUGCAAGUCGAACGGACUCUUGUAAUUUUCAGGCACUAAUACCUUUGGGGAUUAGUAAAUGAAAAUUGCCAGAGUUAGUGGCGGACGGGUGAGUAACACGUUGGUACCUGCCCCGAAGUGGGAAUAACUGCCCGAAAGGGUAGCUAAUACCGCAUAUUGCCGAAAGGUGAAAGCAGUAAUGCGCUUCGGGAGGGGCCUGCGUCCCAUCAGCAGUUGGUAGGUAAUGGCCUACCAAGGCGACGAUGGGUAGCUGGAUCGAGAGGUUGACCAGCCACACUGGGACUGAGAUACGGCCCAGACUCCUACGGGAGGCAGCAGUAAGGAAUCUUCCACAAUGGACGAAAGUCUGAUGGAGCAAC